GAGAAGCUUUUUAUGUCCCUCUCUGGGACGCGGCGUAAAUUUAAGUUUUACGUAAGGACUUAUUGAAACCUCCUUGGAGACAGCAAACUUUUAUACGGAUAGUUCAUUCAGCUUGAAUACUUCAAUUAAUCAUUUAUUAUAACAUUUCUAUCAUAAAUGAGUGAAAGUUACCCCAGAAUUUUUAUUUAUUGGCCUAAAAAGUAGAAAUUUUGAGGAAAUGAGAGGUAUAAAUGGACCAAAAGAGACCUUAUAAGGAAGACAAAGAGGUCCAUUAGUACUAUUUAUCAUCCUAAAGUCAUCUUUUGUAUCAUAUUCAACUGUUUGUAGGCAGAUGAGAUAAAUAUUUGAUCAUUUAUUGGUCCACACUAUAUUCUAUCAUGAUGCGGCUGGGUUUGGAUUUUUAGAAGAAAUUUUGCUCGAAUCGCUGUAGAUGUCGUCUGACAUUAUACUAGAUUUUUCUCAAAUUAUUGAACUGAUUAUGACAAAACUUGACAGGAAUGCUUGAAAUAAUCCGUAUUACAAAGGAAAAAAGUCACAUUCAGUUUAUUUAACAAAAAAGUCUUCUUUAGGUGUAAUACCACCAAAUCAUAGUACGUCACAUCCGGUUGCAUACGAAAAUAGGUCUAAAAAAAUAUUCCCUUGAAUUUGACAGUUGUAGGUAAUUGAUCCUACAUUUCAUUGCAGUAAAACAUUUCUGGGUCAUAAACAUAUAUCUUGGGUAUUUCAAAGCACCAUUAUUUUUUUAUUUGGGGUUUCUAUAAAAUAUUUUGGAAACUUGAGGUUACAUGGUUACUAAAGCUUGUACACAGGUUAAAAAGGGGGAAAAUUUGAUUGGUUAACUUCCAGUGAUGAUUAUUUUCUUAUA